UAGGGUGCAAGCGUUGUCCGGAAUUAUUGGGCGUAAAGAGCUUGUAGGCGGUUUGUUGCGUCGGCUGUGAAAUCCCGUGGCUCAACCUCGGGUCUGCAGUCGAUACGAGCAAACUAGAGUGUUGCAGGGGAGACUGGAAUUCCUGGUGUAGCGGUGAAAUGCGCAGAUAUCAGGAGGAACACCGGUGGCGAAGGCGGGUCUCUGGGCAACAACUGACGCUGAGGAGCGAAAGCGUGGGGAGCGAGCAGG
rnacentral:rRNA from 1 species